rnacentral:rRNA from 1 species
UGGGGAAUAUUGGACAAUGGGCGAAAGCCUGAUCCAGCCAUGCCGCGUGUGUGAAGAAGGCCUUUUGGUUGUAAAGCACUUUAAGUGGGGAGGAAAAGCUUAUGGUUAAUACCCAUAAGCCCUGACGUUACCCACAGAAUAAGCAUCGGCUAACUCUGUGCCAGCAGCCGCGGUAAUACAGAGGGUGCAAGCGUUAAUCGGAAUUACUGGGCGUAAAGCGCGCGUAGGUGGUUAUUUAAGUCAGAUGUGAAAGCCCCGGGCUUAACCUGGGAACUGCAUCUGAUACUGGAUAACUAGAGUAGGUGAGAGGGGAGUAGAAUUCCAGGUGUAGCGGUGAAAUGCGUAGAGAUCUGGAGGAAUACCGAUGGCGAAGGCAGCUCCCUGGCAUCAUACUGACACUGAGGUGCGAAAGCGUGGGUAGCAAACAGGAUUAGAUACCCUGGUAGUCCACGCCGUAACGAUGUCUACCAGUCGUUGGGUCUUUUAAAGACUUAGUGACGCAGUUAACGCAAUAAGUAGACCGCCUGGGGGAGUACGGCCGCAAGGUU